rnacentral:rRNA from 1 species
AAUGAACGCUGGCGGCGUGCUUUACACAUGCAAGUCGAGCGAGGCGGGUAGCAAUAUCCAGUCGAGCGGCGAACGGGUGAGUAACGCGUGGAUGACCUGCCCUUCAGCGGGGAAUAACCCGGGGAAACUCGGGCUAAUACCGCAUACGACCGAGAGGUGAAAGCGGGGUCGCAAGAUCUCGUACUGAAGGAGGGGUCCGCGUCCGAUUAGCUAGUUGGUAGGGUAAUGGCCUACCAAGGCGACGAUCGGUAGCCGGCCUGAGAGGGUGAUCGGCCACACUGGAACUGAGACACGGUCCAGACUCCUACGGGAGGCAGCAGUGGGGAAUUUUGCGCAAUGGGCGAAAGCCUGACGCAGCAACGCCGCGUGGAGGAUGAAGGUCUUUGGAUUGUAAACUCCUGUCAGCAGGGAAAAAGCGACUUAGCCUCAUACGCUAGGGAGUUGAUUGUACCUGCAGAGGAAGCCCCGGCUAACUCUGUGC